rnacentral:lncRNA from 1 species
UCGUUUUUUCCUCUAGGAGGCAAGAGCUGCACUGCCUAAUUUUGGGGUGUUUGCUCACCUGGCUAAAUUUGCCGAUUGACCAAGAACACAUGAAAUGCAACACUCAAAUAUCAUGCCAACUUUUAUUCUCAUUUGGUAGAGCAAAGCAUGCUCUGAAGUCUGAAUUAUGGUUCCAUUCGAACAACAGUAGGCAUAUGGUUCCAUUCGAACAACAGUAGGCAUAAACUCAGCAAGAUGAUGACAACAUCAGGAUGGUUGGGUAAUUCAGAAGCACUCCAUAUAUAUCAGUGCUGCAGCAGGUCUCUGAACCAGUAGGCCGACGCCUUGGGGUGCCGAUCCAGGGUGGGGCUGUUGAAGUCGACGUACACGAUGCCAAACUUGGAUGAGUAGCCGGAGAUCCACUCGAAGUUGUCGAGGAGAGACCACGCGAAGUAGCCGAGGACGUUGGCGCCGCCGUCGAUGGCCUUCUUCAGCUCGCUGAGGUAGCUCCGGUAGAACCGGACCCUCGUCGCGUCCCGCAAGUACUGGUCGCGGGUGAGGCCCCCCGGCUGAUCCAUUCCUGGCAACAUGAUGAUAACAAGGUUAGUAUAUGCAUGACAAGAUGAGUGAGAGGCAUGAAACCGAGCAAAGAUGAUAUGGAGCUUCAAAAAAGGAUGAAGUAUUUAUCCAGUACCGUUUUCGGUUAUGACAAUAGCUGGGUUUCCAUACUUCUGGCUGAGGUAGUGCACGCAUCCGUACAUCCCCGACGGGACGAUGUAAAGCCAGUUAGAAUUCGCCUACAAGAGUUCACAAGGAUUGAUCAUGUUAAUUUUGAACACAACGGUGCAAAUAAUGUCCGAGAAAAUAGAGCUGAAAAAGGUUGCAGCUAAGAGCUACACACACACCUUUGGUCCAAUCGGUUUGCCAUUUCUCUCAACUGCAAAGAUUUCGGCGAUGAUUAAAAGGGUGAACCGACAAUAUUCAUCGGAAUGCGAUGAUGUAAAACCUAGAGCUUGGGACAAGAAACUCACAGGCAUAGGUAACCUGCCAAUCGGCUGAGUAGCUGGUCGGCGUCUGCUGCGUCAACUUCUGCCCCUUCAUGAGGCUGGCCGUGUACUGGUUGAUCCCAAUGUAGUCUGCUGAGCCCUUGACCAAUUUAGCUUCAUCGGGAGUGAACCUGGGCAACCUCUCUUUCACAAGGUCUUGCAUUAUCUGUGGGUAAUGCCCGUUUAUUAGCGGGUCGACAAACCUGCAUCCAAAUGCAACGUUGAUGGCAUAAGCGUCGGUGUCAUAUUUUGUUUAUCGAUCUGAAAUGCUUUGUCAGAGGAUGCUAGUAUGGCUUACCAGCCAACAUGGAAGUCCCUGGCUCUUUGGGCUGCUGCUUGGUCUUCAGUUGAGUUGGUAAGAGCCUCAUACCAGUUGAAGUCCAGAACUAUUCCAACCUUCCCCUUCUGAGCUGCCUACAUUUUAAAAAAAAUUAUUCAGAUAUUAUUCUAUCAUCAGUCUAGACAGAAUGAUGUUCACCACAAAUCAUACAUAUCUGAUAUCUCAAGAUUUCUUAUCACUUACGGGUUAGGGAAAUAAUACUAAUACAUGUAGUAAGAAAAAAUAAUUCAAACUACACUCCUGAAGCUGAGCCUAGUAUGAUUUACUCUUGCAAUUCAAGUAGAAAUAUACCUGAUACUUAGUCCGGUAUCUUGCAACUGCAUAACCAUGAGCUAAGAGAAAAUUGUGAGCAACGAUGUAAGGUUCUGUUGCUGAGUUGCCACCGGCAGCGCAUUUGCUGCAUCUCUGAGGAGGAUUCGACCCUACAUCGUAACCAAGAAGCGCAACUAUCCUUGGUUCGUUGAAUGUAAACCAGUGCUUUACACGAUCGCCAAAGGUCUUAAAACAAAAGUCAGCAUAGUCUGCAAAUAGUCCCCUACAGAACAAAUGUUAUGAAGAUAGUCAUGCACUGCUCAUUGUUCAACCUUUCAUAUCAGAGGUACAUACUAUAUAGAAAAACAUACUUCCAUUUUAGAAAUUAUUACUGUACACAGAGUAGUAUUUACAUAGAAAAGCACAUAGUGCUCGUAUGUUUUGCAUUUUACUUUCGGGCAAACAUACAAAAACUUCCACAUGCACAAUGUUCAUGCUCAAUACGCAAAAUCACUUUAGGCAAUUACUGUACACAGUCACAGAGUAACUGGUAAUUUGUCUAAACCAUUUUAGCUUUCUCAGUAUAUAUGCUAGCUUCCAAUUCCAAACUACAAGUAUACAGUAACUCCAAAGUGAGAAGGUAAAUGUAACACAUGAGUACAUAGAAUACUAGUUUGACUUACACCGUCUUUGCAUUUAACCAGCCUCCAUACUUCUUCUCGAGUGCAAGAGGGAGAUCAUAGUGGUAAAGAUUGAUAUAAGGAGUAAUGCCUGCUCAGUUUUCAUGGAAGCAUUCAGAUAUUAAUGUAUUCAGGUUCCCAUGGAGGUUUCACAGGUUGAAGCAGAUGGUUAGUUCCGCGCAAAAAUGGAAAUAGAUGAUUAGUUAUAUGCUAUACCUUUCUGAAGAAGGUAGUUUAUCAGAUUAUUGUAAUACGCGACGCCUUCUUUGUUAACUUUUCCGUCACCAUCUGCGCAAGUCAAAGAUGAAUAAGGGUGGUAACUCUUGUGUUUCAUUCAGUAUAAUAUUGGAGUUAUGUAUUAGCAUGCUACGGUUCCAGCCAAACUCGGAGUACCUGGGAAGAUUCUGGACCAUGAGAUAGAAAACCGAUAGGCGUCGAAAUUCAAUCCUUUCAUGAGAUUAACAUCUUCCUGUGCAAACAUAAAAGAACAAAUCAUAAGGCCCUGGGAGUUCUUUCUCUGACAGUUGUAGUGUGAAUGUUAACAAUUAGUACUGCAUUGGGAUAUGUCAACCAGCUCAACUUUUGUGAACUGUGAUAUAUGCAGUUGUAAUUUUGUAGUGUUUACAGUUAGUACUGUGCCGGGAGAAUGGAGAUGUCAAUCAGCUCAAUUUUUGUGAAAUGUGAUCUAUGCAGUGUAAUUCUGAAUGGGUACAGAUAUUUCACUUGUAGAAAGCUUGGUCAGCCAUCGCUUCACUGACCAAAUGAAGAUGGACAUUGCCACCCAUUAGCUUCUAUAUAGAUUGACAAACAAAAUAUGGCAUCUACGUUUUGCACGGUGCUAUAAAGAUCCCAGAGGAGCAGCAAAAGGAAUAGAGAUUUCAAUUAAUUUCUGACAUGGAAGUUAUUAUGAUUUUUAAUACUGUACUACAAGAUGCGCUCUGCUUGCUUCGGAUGUGGUGGUAGUACCUUGUAGCGAUGAUAUUGAUCCGUAGUAACAUCUGCAUUUUGAUUGCCCGCAAUAUUUCCUGCUCAUUGCAACAUAAAUAAGAAAAAUGUCAGUGUGCAUGGAUGAGGUCGAAGAAGAACAAUGCACUUUGGAUCUCAGUUCAAAAUUCUACAUCGAGUGUUUAGUCGCCUAUUAACUGGUUUUACCCUUGGCAAAUGUUCAAAUCCUUGUCGGAAAAUACAUCGGAACUACGGAGUAGUGCUAAGCAACUCACUGGCCACCCCUAAAAAAAAGCAACUCACUGGCCACUGGCCACUGGCCACUCGCUGGUGCCAAGCAAGAGACAUACGAGACGAGACUGGGAGAGACGAGGUAAUCUCACCUGGGACGUGGGCGAACGCGUCCCAGAUGGAAGGCCCGCGGCCGCCGCCGGCGGCCAUGCCCUCCACCUGGUACGCCGACGUGGCCGUCCCGAAGACGAAGCCCUUGGGGAAGGACGCCCUGCUCAGCCCGCCCAGCCAGUUGGGCCGGCGCGGCGACGCCCCCGCGCCCGCGGCUCCCACGCCAUGGCACGCCGCCGCCACCAGCGCGAGCAGCAGCAGCACCGCGGACCUCGCGGCCAUCUCGCGGCCGACCGACAAACCCCGCUCGCGCGCUCGCACGACGCGGUGGCACACUCUUGCUCACUGUUCACACCCACCCUCUGGCCACUGGCAACUCGCUACUCGCUAGUAAUGCCAGAGCAGCGGCACGCUCUUCAAGCAGUAUUUGUGGGCGCGUCCAUCCUAAUAAUUGCCGGCGCGGUGGGGCGGGGCGGAGGGCAUCUUUUCUGGCGGAGCGCGCGCGUGGUCGAGGCUGGCGGCACGGGCGUGCUGGAGUACUCCAGUGGCUGGCACGGCCGGGCGCCGGUGAUAACGCCGCGUGGGUCACGGUGUCCCAGGACCAUGUGACGGACGUUCUCGCUCACGGAGGAGAAGGAAGGAAGGGGUGACGAGGCGAGGCCGGCCGGAAUGAUUAAUGGUGGCCAGUUCACGCCUGUCGGCGAGCGUCACGUGGCGGGGUCUUCCUCCGGGGAUCGCGCAUGUGACGCGGCAUGUGGUGGCGUGGAGGGUGGGGUGGGAUCAUGGGAUGGCGCGGAUAGCGGAGGUACGAACCUCGAGCCUGGCGGCGACGAACAUGUCGCGGUCCGUGCGCCCCUGCGUUGUGUGUCCACCGCGCGGCCAACCACGGUUUACCUCGGAGGUGUGGCCUGGGGCUCUCAGCUGCACGGGCACCAGUCGGUGCUGCAUACACUAGCCAGGUUGACAUGCUGCCGUUGAUUUUAUUUUUUUAAAGAUCCAACAUCGCUGGCAAUUCAUUGAUAAUAGCAAAGAGCAACGAAAAACAACAAGGUAGCCAAUUCAUUGAUAAUAGCAAAGAGCAACGAAAAACAACAAGGUAGCCAAGGCCCUAGUCCCACAAGACCAGACCCAAAAGCUGCAGCACAACACUCCAUACGAUCCACACGAGACAAACGCAGCUCCGACUCCGACGAUGAAAUAUGAAGAAACUAGGCAAGGUUGGCGUCACGGAGAAUCACUGAACGAACCACCUGUCACGUGUCAUCGUAUACCACCAGGCCCCGCCACCGCGGCUCCGACCUCACAUCAACAAACAAUCGAGACAACCCCACAGACACGCCGGAGAAGAAGAGCCGACUACCACGACCAAAACCUUGGCGGUUGAAACCUUGCACAUAUUCCAGGAAAGCUAUAUUUGAGAGAGAGAAAAAACACUUGGGAAGCGAUGGUACGAUAAGAUCAGCCCCCUCCAUGCUGUUGGAUGGAGCACCGAACAGCCGUCCGAUCUCUGCAGCCUUUGCAACAAGACUAGUGUCACCCACUUUGCAACUUCUGCCUUGUUGCGAUCCGUUGCACCGUUUCUUCUUCCUCCUUUUCCUUUGAAACAAGGCCUCUGCUGCAGUCGCAACAAAAAGACUUCUACUUAGAUGGCCAAUCCAGACAACGUCUCACAAAUAAAAAUCUGGCCGCCUUGUGCGAUCACAAUAAAAAACGCAGUAAAAAGAUCUGGAUCAAUUGUAAAAGUUUACAAAAGCUUCAAGUCCUCAUUGAAUCUCCGUUUGCAUCCACAUACAUAGGGUUGGUUCUCUUCCAUUAAAGAUUGCAUCCAUUGCCGGUGCUGCCAAUGCUACCAGCUCUAAAAGAAGGGCACAUUUUGGUACUUGCUCCAAGGAGGAUGGGCAUGUCACAUGUGCUUGAGUUAACGCAAACGACUUUACGUACUAGGAAAAUCUGGUGGUGCCGUGGUGGUGAGCUGCCAAGGCUCCUUUCCUUUCCAAUUUCUCAACUGGAACAAGUGAAUAACCAUGAUGAGGUUGUUGGUGCGGUGAGCUUUUACAAUAGUGGCAGAUCGAGCCGUCCAGGAGCACGCCCUACGGAGUUUCCUUCUAGGGUUCCUCGCGCUGCCGCCGGAGCCCGCCGCCGCUAACCCUCUCUCCCCCUCCUCAAUCCCUCCCUCCCUCCUCCCUCCCCCNNNNNNNNNNNNNNNNNNNNNNNNNNNNNNNNNNNNNNNNNNNNNNNNNNNNNNNNNNNNNNNNNNNNNNNNNNNNNNNNNNNNNNNNNNNNNNNNNNNNNNNNNNNNNNNNNNNNNNNNNNNNNNNNNNNNNNNNNNNNNNNNNNNNNNNNNNNNNNNNNNNNNNNNNNNNNNNNNNNNNNNNNNNNNNNNNNNNNNNNNNNNNNNNNNNNNNNNNNNNNNNNNNNNNNNNNNNNNNNNNNNNNNNNNNNNNNNNNNNNNNNNNNNNNNNNNNNNNNNNNNNNNNNNNNNNNNNNNNNNNNNNNNNNNNNNNNNNNNNNNNNNNNNNNNNNNNNNNNNNNNNNNNNNNNNNNNNNNNNNNNNNNNNNNNNNNNNNNNNNNNNNNNNNNNNNNNNNNNNNNNNNNNNNNNNNNNNNNNNNNNNNNNNNNNNNNNNNNNNNNNNNNNNNNNNNNNNNNNNNNNNNNNNGAUCACAGACGAGUCAGCGGAAGCAACAAUAUCUGAGUACAGACAUAAGUUAAACAAGUUUGCCUUAAGAAGGCUAGCACAAACUGGGAUACAGAUCGAACAAGGCGCAGGCCUCCUGCCUGGGAUCCUCCUAACUACUCCUGGUCGUCGUCAGCGGCCUGCACGUAGUAGUAGGCACCUCCAGUGUCGUAGGUGUCGUCGUCGACGGUGGCGUCUGGCUCCUGGACUCCAACAUCUGGUUGCGACAACCAGAUAGAAAGGAAAGGGGGAAAAGAGGGAGAGAAGCAACCGUGAGUACUCAUCCAAAGUACUCGCAAGCAAGGAGCUAUACUACAUAUGCAUGGGUAUAUGUGUAAAGGGGCAUAUCAAUGGACUGUACUGCAGAAUGCCAGAAUAAAAGGGGGAUAGCUAGUCCUGUCGAAGACUACGCUUCUGGCCAUCUCCAUCUUGCAGCAUGUAGAAGAGAGUAGAUUGAAGUCCUCCAAGUAGCAUUGCAUAGCAUAAUCCUACCCGGCGAUCCCCUCCUCGUCGCCCUGUUAGAGAGCGAUCACCGGGUUGUAUCUGGCACUUGGAAGGGUGUAUUUUAUUCAGUAUCCAGUUCUAGUUGUCAUAAGGUCAAGGUACAACUCCGGGUCGUCCUUUUACCGAGGGACACGGCUAUUCGAAUAGAUAAACUUCCCUGCAGGGGUGCACCACAUAACCCAACACGCUCGAUCCCAUUUGGCCGGACACACUUUUCUGGGUCAUGCCCGGCCUCGUAAGAUCAACACGUCGCAGCCCCACCUAGGCUCAACAGAGAGGUCAGCACGCCGGUCUAAACCUAUGCGCGCAGGGUCUGGGCCCAUCGCCCUAUGCACACCUGCACGUUGCGUACGCGGCCGGAAGCAGACCUAGCCCCCUUAAUACAAGCGCGAGCUUACGGUCCAAUGCGGCGCGCGCCACUCAGUUGUUGACGUCAAAAGAGCUUCGGCUGAUACCACGACGUCGGGAUACCCAUAACUACUCCCACGUAGAUGGUUAGUGCGUAUAGACCAAAUGGCCAGACUCAGAUCAAAUACCAAGAUCUCGUUAAGCGUGUUAAGUAACCGCGAACGCCGACCAGGGCCAGGCCCACCUCUCACCUAGGCGGUCUCAACCUGCCCUGUCGCUCCGCCACAAAGAUCCACUCGCGGGUACUCCUACGAGCCGACCCGACUUUAGUCAUCACAUGUGUCAUGUAUAUAGUAUAUAAGUAUAUACCCGUGAUCACCGCCCAGGUGAUCACGGCCCGAUAGUAUAGCACAACAGACGGACAAGAAUGUAGGGCCACUGAUGGAAAACUAGCAUCCUAUACUAAGCAUGUAGGAUUGCAGGUAAAGGUAACAACAGUAGUAGCAAGGAUAGGCUAUGCAUCAGGAUAGGAUAUCGAAAAGCAGUAACAUGCUACACUCCUCUAAUGCAAGCAGUAUAGAGAAGAAUAGGCGAUAUCUGGUGAUCAAGGGGGGGGCUUGCCUGGUUGCUCUGGCAAGUAGGAGGGGUCGUCAACUCCGUAGUCGAACUGGGCAGCAGCAGUGUCGGUCUCGUAGUCUACCGGAGAGAAGAGGGGGAAGAAACAGUAAAUACAAUGCAAACAUAAACAUGACGAUGCGUGACAUGACAAUGAGCAGUGCGAGGUGUGUCCUAACGCGACAGUAGGUGGUACCGGCGAAGGGGGGGAACAUCCGGGAAAGUAUUCCCGAUGUUUUGCGUUUUCGGACAGAUGGACCGAAGGGGGAAAGUUGCGAGUUCGAUAGGUUAGGGAGGUGUGGUGGACGAACGGACUGCGUAUCAGGAUUCGUCUCGUCGUUCUGAGCAACUUUCAUGUAGAAAACAUUUUCAUCCGAGUUACGGUUUAAAAGAUAUGAAUUUUCAAAGAUUAUUUGAAUUUCUGGAAUUAUUUGAAUUAAGCAAAAAUGAAUUAUGACGUCAGCAUGAGGUAAUGCUGACGUCAGCAGGUCAACAGGUCGGCUGACCAGUCAAACCAGACAGGUGGGUCCAGUGGGACCCACAUGUCAUUGACAGGGCACUAACAGAGUUUUAUAAUUAACUUAAACAAGGUUAUUAGCAGGUAGGCCCCACCUGUCAGUGCCUAUUUAGAUUAAUUAAUUAGUUUUAUUUAUAAAAACAUUUUUUUUGUUAAUUAUGCGGCGGGGCCCGCAUGUCAGUGGCUGGGGCCUGCCCAGUCAGCAGUUGACUGGGGUCAACCCAGUCAACUGGGCCACCAGGGCCCACUGGCAGCGACCUAGGGGGUGGCCCCAGGUGUGCCAGCUCAGCGCGGCCGGCGGCUCAACGCCGGCGACGCCAAACGCGGCGGCGCGGCUCGGAUCUCGCCGGAUUUCGCCUACGGGGCUCGGGGAGGAGCGGGGCUAGUCUCAUUCGAACGAGCUCGCAGCGCCGCAUCCAGUGGUGGCCGUAGCUUCGCCGGACUUGGCCGGAAUCGGCGCCGGCGAGUGGCGGAGGUGGCGGCGUGCACGGGUGCUCGACGAAAACGGAGCUACGGCGUGCUAUCGAGCAAACGGAGGGGCUGGGGAGUAUCUACGCGCUGUGGGGAGUGCAACGGGCUUGAGCCCGUGACCAAAAGGUCACCGGAGCCUUGCUGGCGGCGAGCUCCGCGGCGACGCGUUCAGACGCAAGCAGAGCGGCGGCUACGAGAGCUCAAGAGGCCAGGAGAGCGAGGGGAGAGGAUGAGGGGCUCACCGCGCGGCGCAAGAAAGGCCCGUGGGAGGCUUAGUAGCAGCAGCAGUCGCCGGAGUCGAAGAAGACGGCAGCGACCCGAGGAAGAAGGCGACGGCGUUGGGGGUGAUGUAGGGGGUCCCGGCUCGAGCAAGUGGUCGGGGAGGACGGGCUCGACGUGGCGGAGCUCGUGGACACGUCGAGGUCGCGAGGAAAGCACGGUGGUCGCGUGAACGACGGAGAACGGCGGCGACCGCGUCGGUCUCCUCUCCAGAACGAAGGAGAGGGUGAGGGGAGAGGUGGAUCUGGGGGAGGGGAGGCGCAGAGGCGAGCGAGAGGGGCAAGUGGGAGGGAUGGGCGGAGGCCGAGGCGUCGGGGCGGCCUUAUCCUCCCCCGUCGCCGGCGAGGGGGUGCGGCGGGGACCUGCCCUGUUCCGACCCCGGUCGGGGGAACAGGGAAGGGGAGGGCAUGGUCGAGCGAGGUGGGCCAGGCCGGCUGGGCCUGGGGUCGGCCCAGUUGGGCCAGGGUCCAGUGGGGGAAGGGGGGGUUCCUUUUCUUGUUUGUUUUCUUUUUUCUUUUUGUUCUGUUUUCUCUUUAUUUAUUUAUUUUCUUUUCUGCUUUAAUUCAUUUAAAAGCAUUUAGGAAUUUUAUAAAAAUGUGAUUACUUCACCAUAAUUACCGAUGCAAUAAUUGACAUGGCCCGAACAUUUUUAUUAUAAUAUUUGAAAACUUUUGUCGUUUGACUUAUUUAGGAUUUAAAUUUGAAACGGUUUUGAAUUAACCCGAGAUUAAUUUCAGUGACAGAGGUGACGUGCCAUCAUUAACGUGAGAUUACUGUAGCAUGAUUAUCCGGGCGUUACAAAUCUCCUCCACUAAAAGAAAUCUCGUCCCGAGAUUUAGGAGGUAGAAGGAAACAGUGCGGGGUAUUCUUAGCGCAGACGAUCCUCUCGUUCCCAAGUGGCCUCAUCUUCAGAAUGGUGCGACCACUGGACUUUGAGAAACUUGAUCGCUUUCUGACGUGUGCGGCGUUCAGCUUGGUCGAGAAUGCGGACCGAAUGCUCCUUAUAGGAGAGGUCUUGCUGCAAUUCGAGCACUUCAUGAUCCACAGCUCGGAUUGGGUCCUUGAAGCAACGGCGGAGCUGUGACACAUGGAACACAUCGUGUACCUGAGAAAGGUUCGGCGGUAGUUCCAGUUGGUAUGCCACCUUUCCACGCCUUUCGAGAAUAGUGAAUGGGCCAAUAUAGCGAGGAGUUAGUUUGCCCUUGAUUCCGAAGUGGUGAGCACCCUUCAUUGGUGUGACUCGAAGAUAAGCCUUUUCGCCAGGUUGAUAGACCAUGUCUUUAUGAUGACGGUUAUACUGACUCUUCUGACGUGACUGAGCAGUCUUGAGAUUCUCGCGAAUAAUGCGGACUUGUUCUUCGGCAUGUUGGAUAAUAUCCGGACCAAAGAGUGGACGUUCCCCAGUUUCUGACCAGUUCAGAGGGGUUCGGCACUUUCGUCCAUAUAACACUUCGAAGGGGGGCCAUCUUCAGACUAGCUUGAUAGCUAUUAUUAUAAGAGAACUCAGCAUACGAGAGAGAUUCCUCCCAUUUCUUGGCGAAGGAAAUAACACAAGCUCGAAGCAUAUCUUCGAGAACUUGGUUGACGCGUUCGACUUGCCCUUGCGACUGAGGAUGAAACGCAGUACUGAAUGACAGAUGAGUUCCCAUGGCUUCUUGGAAACUUGCCCAGAAUCUUGAAGUGAAUAAGCUACCACGGUCUGAGAUGAUAACCAAUGGAAUACCGUGGAGUGAAACAAUCCUGGACAUAUAGAGCGUUGCCAGCUGACUAGCAGUGAUUGUUUCUUUGACCGCCAGAAAAUGUGCAACUUUGGAAAGCCGGUCAAUGACGACAAGAAUAGCAUCAUUACCUUUCUGUGAUUUGGGAAAUCCAGUGACGAAGUCCAUCUCAACAUGGUCCCAUUUCCAUUCAGGAAUAGAGAUAGGUUGCAGAGUUCCAGCAGGCCUUUGAUGUUCUGCUUUGAUACGACGGCAAACGUCACACUCAGCAACAUAACGAGCAAUGUCUUGCUUCAUAUUAGACCACCAGAAUCUCUGACGGAUGUCUUGGUACAUCUUUGUACUACCAGGAUGGAUACAUAGAGGCGUAUCAUGAGCUUCUUUCAUAACUUCCUGUGUCAUAUCCAGGUUUUUCUCUGCACAUGGCACCACUAGGCGGCCCUUGAAGUAUAAGGUGCCAUCUUCAGCAAUAGUGAAGAAUGAGGGCUUUCCUUCUGCGAGGUAGUGCUUAAUCUUGUGGGCUUCAGAGUCAUAUCCCUGUAUUCUCUUGAUGGAGUCCAGGAGAUCUGGUUCUACGGCCAGGGUAUUGAGGGAACCCUGGGGAACAACACGGAGGUUCAUCUUGCGAAACUCCUUAGGAGGGGGAGCGAGUGCACCCGGAGGGACAAUAUGGAGGUUUAGCUUCCCGAAUUCUUCAACAAGCGAGGGCUAAACUUUGUGAACCUGGAGGUGGUUGCAGUAAGACUUGCGGCUCAAGGCAUCAGCCAUUACAUUAGCCUUGGCUGGCGUAUAGGAAAUACCCAAGUCAAAGUCUGCAACAAGCUCCAUCCAUCUCUGUUGACGGAGGUUCAGAUCUGGCUGAGUAAACAGAUACUUCAGACUUUGGUGGUCAGUGAAGAUCUCGUAACGAUUACUGAGAAGGUAAUGUCGCCACUGCUUCAGCGCAUGAAUGACAGCAACAAGUUCGAGGUCGUGAACUGGGUAGUUCUCUUCGUGAGGGCGCAAUUGCCGAGAGGCAUAAGCAAUCACUUUGCGGUCUUGCAUUAGGACACAGCCUAAUCCUUGACGGGAAGCGUCGCAGUAAAUGACGAAGUCCUUCUUAGUAUCCGGUGGAGCUAGAACUGGGGCAGAAGUCAACUUGUCUUUGAGUGCCUGGAAACUUUCCUGACAUUUGUCUGUCCAUUGGAACUUGACGCCCUUAUGCAACAGGUUAGUCAGAGGUCUGGCGAUCUUGGAGAAGUUCUCGACGAAUCGACGGCAAUAGCUGGCGAGAUCGAGAAAACUUCUCACUUGCUUAACGUUCUUGGGAGGAGUCCAAUCAAGAAUAGCCUGAACUCGCUCGGGGUUGACGGCAAUACCAUCCUUAGAGAUGGCAUGCCCAAGAUAGGUUACUUCCGGUAGCCAGAAUUCACAUUUGGAGAACUUGGCAUAUAGUUGAUGUUCUCGUAGCUUUUCCAGCACAAGUCGAAGAUGUUCAACGUGUUCUUCUUCGUUCUUGGAAAAUACCAGGAUAUCAUCCAGAUAAACCACAACGAACUUGUCGAGGUAAUCCAUGAAUAUAUAGUUCAUCAGUCGAGAGAAGGUGGCUGGAGCAUUGGUUAAACCGAAAGACAUGACGGUGUACUCGUAUGAACCAUAGCGAGUCACGAAGGCGGUCUUUGGGAUAUCCUCUUCGCGAACACGGAUCUGGUGGUAACCCAACCUCAAGUCGAGCUUAGAGAACACUGACGAACCCGCCAGUUGACCAUACAGAUCAUUGAUCCGAGGAAGAGGGUAUUUAUUCUGAAUGGUAGCUUGGUUUAUAGGAUGGUAGUCUUGAACUAACCGGUUUGUCCCAUCCUUCUUCUUGACAAAGAGAGAAGGUGCUCCCCAAGGAGAGCAACUUGGGCGAAUGAAUCCUUUGCGAAGAGAUUUGUCGAUUUCUUCCUUAAGCUCAAGGUGUUCAUGCGGCGGCAUUUUGUAGGGUCGCUUGGCUAUAGGAGUGGUGCCUGGUUUCAAGUCGAUGAUGAAUUCGACAGCUCUAGCAGGGGGAAUCCCUGGAAGUUCUUCAGGGAAGACGUCGAGGAAUUCACGCACGACGGGAAUGUUUUCAAUGCCCUCGAGUGGUGCAGCAUUCAAUGCAUUCAAUGCAUAGAGCCUUGCCUCGGCAUUUUGCACCAGAUGGGCUUGGUAAGUAACUAUCUCAUCUGAAGGGUGUAGCAGAUGGACGGUCUUAGUGGCGCAAACUAUAGAAGCAGUAUGCGCUUUCAACCAAUCCAUACCCAAAAUGAGGUCGAUGUUAGACGACUUUAGGAUAAUGGGAGAGGCAUAGAAUUCCAGCCCUUCGAUUUCCACGGGGACAUCGAUGCCAACCAAGGAGGUUUGACACUGUCCAACGGGGGUUUUGACCAAUACAGAGGUGUUCAUCUCCUCACAUUUAACGUCGUGCUUGUAUGCAAAAUCUUCUGACAUGAAUGAAUGCGAUGCACCUAUAUCAAAUAAAACGGAUGCUAGUACUGAAUUUACGAGGAGUGUACCCAUCACAGUAGCAGGCUGGUCUUGAGCUUCGUUGAGGUCAACGUGGUUGGCAUGAGCACGACCAUAAGACUUAGCAUUGUUUUUGCGGGGCUGGUUGUUACCACGGCCCGUUGCUGGAAGGGCAAGUUGAUUCUGAUUCUGAUUGCAGUCCCUGGCACGGUGACCUGGUUGCCCACACUUGUAGCACAGACCAUUAUUGGGAGUGGGAACAGGAGCUUGGGAUGGUGGAGCUGGAAGUCUUGACUGCCUAGAUGGUGGUGGAGGCAGACGAGGUGCAGCAUAGGUCUGCCUUGGGGCAGAUGCAUUUGGACGGUACAUGCUGUUCGGGAUCCAUAUCUUACGCUUCUGUGAGGGCGAGCCCGAAGAUGAGCCCGUGUCACGGUUGCGCCUGUGAGAGCUCUGGUAUUCCUGCAGACCAGUUUCGACAUUGAUGGCCUUGUUCACCAAGGUGGCGAAAUCAGCAAAGUCAUGCACUAGAAGUGCGAGCUUGAUGUCAGCUUGAAGGCCAUCACGGAACUUCUCCUGUCUGCGUGCAUCAGUUGCAAUGUCCUCUUCAGCAUAGCGAGACAAGUCCAGAAACUCCCGCUGAUAAGCUUCAACAGUUUUGUUGCCUUGAGUGAGGUUGCGGAACUCACGCUUCUUCCGGUCCAUGACUCCCUGAGGAAUGAAGCGGGCACGGAAAGCUGCUUGGAAGUCUGGCCAUGUGAUGAUUGUUCCAGCUGGCAGAGUACGCCUGUGGCUGUCCCACCAUUGAGCUGCGGGUCCCUUCAAGAAGAAGGAAGCAAAGGUGACAUAGCUGGCAGGGGCUACAUCAGCAGACUCCAUCUCAUAGGUGAUGUCACGGAGCCAGUCAUCAGCAUCCAGAGGCUGAGUUGAGCUGCGGUAGAUGGUUGGGUUGAGGCGUAUGAAAUCUUGAAGAGUCACUUGGGCUGGCUGCUGGUUCAUAUUGGGGCGAGGAAACUGAGCCAUCAUAUUUUCCAUGAACUGGCGGUUCAGUUCAAACUGUUGGAUCAUACCAGCCAUGUACUCAGGUGGUGGUGGGGCAUCGCCACCACGUCCACGACCACCUGGUCUAACCAUCCUGCUAAUAUAUAACAGGGGUAGUUCAGCAUUGAGAAAUUUGCAAAGACAAGAAUCAUUCAUGAUGAAACAUGCAUAAUGAAAGGAGCACGAUAGCUACUACAUAGUAGUCGGCAUAACUUACAAAGGGGUCAUGCAUAGAGUUCAGUACAUAGACUAAAACAACAUAGGCGGCACACAGGCUCGCGGCGAAUGCAUCUAACACUACAAGCAAGCCUACAUCAGUCCCAAGAGGUACUGUGGAGGUAAUCGUAGCCCGACAGCUGGUAGUGAGGCAACGGAUAGCCCUCCACAUCAGCAGACUGGGGGCCGCGGAUACUCAGGUGUAGAGCCCGACGCUCAGGUGGCAGAAGAGGACCAAGUGCAGGGGAGUAGCCUCCCACCUCUGGCCAACCGACACUGUGGGGCAUCACGGUCCUGGCUGGGUAGAUCGCAGUACGCGGUACCUAUCCAGAUCGGACAAAGGGGUGCAGCAACGUCAGAGCACGGUAAAGGUGCUGACGGGUGGUGUACAUCUCGUGGCGAAGAGCUCGGUUAGCUCGAUCCAGCCCAUCAGCAUGCAGAACCAGGUUCUGAUGGUAGAAGGGCUCUCGGGUGACAGUGGAGUAGGCAGCAGUAUAGUAUCCCUCCGCACCAACAUCAGAUGCGAUAGCAAUGUGCCUGAAAGGGGAGGUGUCCAACUCCCGAUACUCUCCACGAAGACGUGUCAGAGCAGCAUAGGCAGCAUCGUGGACAGCCAUAUCGAUGGUCACACCAACACCAUGUGCGGUGUGCAGCACAGUAGUGGAGUCAUACUCCCGCGAGUAGAGGUGGACGAUGGCACGGUACUGCUCCUAGUUAAAGUCCUGGUACUCCUCGUAGACGGUGUACUCAGGGUGCCAGCGAUAACCCAGAUAGGUCAUCAUCUCAGCUAGCACAGCCGGUGAUCCCGAGGCACCAAUGGCCGUCGUGUGACGCACGACCUGCCUCGUGGGUUCCAUCUGAAAGCAAAGACGUUUCAAAGGAGUCAAAUGACAGUGUGUGAAUUGUUCAAAAUACUAUUCUAAGAAACAACUAUGGCUUAUCCAACUUUGGGGUGAAUGCGGUCACGGGAUCCUAGUGUUAGAGUUAGUAAAUUCGUUUAACCCGAGUAGAAGAGAGUUCAGAGUCCCAGAGUAAAGGUCGAGGAGUAAAAGAUCCUAGUACCACCCAAUGGCGACGUGGGCCCAUAAGACACACAGCCAUGUUAGUAAAAGCUUUGUAAUGUCUAGACUCGACUUCAGCCAAAGAGUGUGGAAAGGGGGAUUCCUACAGGCAGUCGGCUCUGAUACCAACUUGUGACGCCCCCGAUUUGACCGUACACUAAUCAUGCACGCAAAUGUGUACGAUCAAGAUCAGGGACUCACGGGAAGAUAUCACAACACAACUCUACAACAUAAAUAAGUCAUACAAGCAUCAUAAUACAAGCCAGGGGCCUCGAGGGCUCGAAUACAAGUGCUUGAUCACAGACGAGUCAGCGGAAGCAACAAUAUCUGAGUACAGACAUAAGUUAAACAAGUUUGCCUUAAGAAGGCUAGCACAAACUGGGAUACAGAUCGAACAAGGCGCAGGCCUCCUGCCUGGGAUCCUCCUAACUACUCCUGGUCGUCGUCAGCGGCCUGCACGUAGUAGUAGGCACCUCCAGUGUCGUAGGUGUCGUCGUCGACGGUGGCGUCUGGCUCCUGGACUCCAACAUCUGGUUGCGACAACCAGAUAGAAAGGAAAGGGGGAAAAGAGGGAGAGAAGCAACCGUGAGUACUCAUCCAAAGUACUCGCAAGCAAGGAGCUAUACUACAUAUGCAUGGGUAUAUGUGUAAAGGGGCAUAUCAAUGGACUGUACUGCAGAAUGCCAGAAUAAAAGGGGGAUAGCUAGUCCUGUCGAAGACUACGCUUCUGGCCAUCUCCAUCUUGCAGCAUGUAGAAGAGAGUAGAUUGAAGUCCUCCAAGUAGCAUUGCAUAGCAUAAUCCUACCCGGCGAUCCCCUCCUCGUCGCCCUGUUAGAGAGCGAUCACCGGGUUGUAUCUGGCACUUGGAAGGGUGUAUUUUAUUCAGUAUCCAGUUCUAGUUGUCAUAAGGUCAAGGUACAACUCCGGGUCGUCCUUUUACCGAGGGACACGGCUAUUCGAAUAGAUAAACUUCCCUGCAGGGGUGCACCACAUAACCCAACACGCUCGAUCCCAUUUGGCCGGACACACUUUUCUGGGUCAUGCCCGACGUCGGGAUACCCAUAACUACUCCCACGUAGAUGGUUAGUGCGUAUAGACCAAAUGGCCAGACUCAGAUCAAAUACCAAGAUCUCGUUAAGCGUGUUAAGUAACCGCGAACGCCGACCAGGGCCAGGCCCACCUCUCACCUAGGCGGUCUCAACCUGCCCUGUCGCUCCGCCACAAAGAUCCACUCGCGGGUACUCCUACGAGCCGACCCGACUUUAGUCAUCACAUGUGUCAUGUAUAUAGUAUAUAAGUAUAUACCCGUGAUCACCGCCCAGGUGAUCACGGCCCGAUAGUAUAGCACAACAGACGGACAAGAAUGUAGGGCCACUGAUGGAAAACUAGCAUCCUAUACUAAGCAUGUAGGAUUGCAGGUAAAGGUAACAACAGUAGUAGCAAGGAUAGGCUAUGCAUCAGGAUAGGAUAUCGAAAAGCAGUAACAUGCUACACUACUCUAAUGCAAGCAGUAUAGAGAAGAAUAGGCGAUAUCUGGUGAUCAAGGGGGGGGGGGGCUUGCCUGGUUGCUCUGGCAAGUAGGAGGGGUCGUCAACUCCGUAGUCGAACUGGGCAGCAGCAGUGUCGGUCUCGUAGUCUACCGGAGAGAAGAGGGCGAAGAAACAGUAAAUACAAUGCAAACAUAAACAUGACGAUGCGUGACAUGACAAUGAGCAGUGCGAGGUGUGUCCUAACGCGACAGUAGGUGGUACCGGCGAAGGGGGGGAACAUCCGGGAAAGUAUUCCCGAUGUUUUGCGUUUUCGGACAGAUGGACCGGAGGGGGAAAGUUGCGAGUUCGAUAGGUUAGGGAGGUGUGGUGGACGAACGGACUGCGCAUCCGGAUUCGUCUCGUCGUUCUGAGCAAUUUUCAUGUAGAAAACAUUUUCAUCCGAGUUACGGUUUAAAAGAUAUGAAUUUUCAAAGAUUAUUUGAAUUUCUGGAAUUAUUUGAAUUAAGCAAAAAUGAAUUAUGACGUCAGCAUGAGGUAAUGCUGACGUCAGCAGGUCAACAGGUCGGCUGACCAGUCAAACCAGACAGGUGGGUCCAGUGGGAUCCACAUGUCAUUGACAGGGCACUAACAGAGUUUUAUAAUUAACUUAAACAAGGUUAUUAGCAGGUAGGCCCCACCUGUCAGUGCCUAUUUAGAUUAAUUAAUUAGUUUUAUUUAUAAAAACAUUUUUUUUGUUAAUUAUGCGGCGGGGCCCGCAUGUCAGUGGCUGGGGCCUGCCCAGUCAGCAGUUGACUGGGGUCAACCCAGUCAACUGGGCCACCAGGACCCACUGGCAGCGACCCAGGGGGUGGCCCCAGGUGUGCCAGCUCAGCGCGGCCGGCGACGCCAAACGCGGCGGCGCGGCCGGCGACGCCAAACGCGGCGGCGCGGCUCGGAUCUCGCCGGAUUUCGCCUACGGGGCUCAGGGAGGAGCGGGGCUAGUCUCAUUCGAACGAGCCCGCAGCGCCGCAUCCAGUGGUGGCCGUAGCUUCGCCGGACUUGGCCGGAAUCGGCGCCGGCGAGCGGCGGAGGUGGCGGCGUGCACGGGUGCUCGACGAAAACGGAGCUACGGCGUGCUAUCGAGCAAACGGAGGGGCUGGGGAGUAUCUACGCGCUGUGGGGAGUGCAACGGGCUUGAGCCCGUGACCAAAAGGUCACCGGAGCCUUGCCGGCGGCGAGCUCCGCGGCGACGCGUUCAGACGCAAGCAGAGCGGCGGCUACGAGAGCUCAAGAGGCCAGGAGAGCGAGGGGAGAGGAUGAGGGGCUCACCGCGCGGCGCAAGAAAGGCCCGUGGGAGGCUUAGUAGCAGCAGCAGUCGCCGGAGUCGAAGAAGACGGCGGCGACCCGAGGAAGAAGGCGACGGCGUUGGGGGUGAUGUAGGGGGUCCCGGCUCGAGCAGGUGGUCGGGGAGGACGGGCUCGACGCGGCGGAGCUCGUGGACACGUCGAGGUCGCGAGGAAAGCACGGUGGUCGCGUGAACGACGGAGAACGGCGGCGACCGCGUCGGUCUCCUCUCCAGAACGAAGGAGAGGGUGAGGGGAGAGGUGGAUCUGGGGGAGGGGAGGCGCAGAGGCGAGCGAGAGGGGCAAGUGGGAGGGAUGGGCGGAGGCCGAGGCGUCGGGGCGGCCUUAUCCUCCCCCGUCGCCGGCGAGGGGGUGCGGCGGGGACCUGCCCUGUUCCGACCCCGGUCGGGGGAACAGGGAAGGGGAGGGCAUGGUCGAGCGAGGUGGGCCAGGCCGGCUGGGCCUGGGGUCGGCCCAGUUGGGCCAGGGUCCAGUGGGGGAAGGGGGGUUCCUUUUCUUGUUUGUUUUCUUUUUUCUUUUUGUUCUGUUUUCUCUUUAUUUAUUUAUUUUCUUUUCUGUUUUAAUUCAUUUAAAAGCAUUUAGGCAUUUUAUAAAAAUGUGAUUACUUCACCAUAAUUACCGAUGCAAUAAUUGACAUGGCCCGAACAUUUUUAUUAUAAUAUUUGAAAACUUUUGUCGUUUGACUUAUUUAGGAUUUAAAUUUGAAACGGUUUUGAAUUAACCCGAGAUUAAUUUCAGUGACAGAGGUGACGUGCCAUCAUUAACGUGAGAUUACUGUAGCAUGAUUAUCCGGGCGUUACACGACGCGACGGUGCGGCCGUUGGCCGUGGGGCGGCGCGGUGGCGCUGGUGGCCGGCGGCGCCCGUGGCCCCAUCUGGGUUGGGGCGGGCCGGUGGCACAACGUUCGGCGGCGACGCUCCUUGGUGGUGGCGAGGUGGCGGCGGUCUGCGGGUGGUGAGGACUUCGUCGGUCGGAGAGUUGCAGCGUGGUGACAGACUGACAGGACUGUCCGGGUUCAAGAGGGCCCGGCAAGUCCUCGUCCCCGCGUCCGGUCGGCUCCGCUGCAGCGGUGGAGGUUGUCCCCUCCCUCUGGUCGAGCUGUGGUCGCUCCCGUGGCCGGUGUCUCCUUUCCCUCUCCAGGUCUCGUGUUGGCAUCUCCAGAGAGGUGGCAAGGGUGGUCCGGUAACCGUGGUGGCACAGGCUGGUGGGCGGCGGAUGGUGUGGUGCAUUUCAAAGUGCCCGGGGUGGUGGUGGUGGAUCGGGAGAAAUCCCUGUCGGCUUGUCCGACACCAACGCGGUGACGCCUGCGGGCGCCGUCGGACCUUCCUAAGGGGCGUCGGGUGUAUCCCUUCCCCACUACCCCCCGCGUACCGCGGGAAAUCCUAGAACUUGUUCGGGCAACAGCGACGGCGGCGGCGUCGCAUCCCCUUCUUGAAGGUGUUUCUUGGUGCGCGGUGCUUCGUGAAGGAAAUAUGCCCUAGAGGCAAUAAUAAAGUUAUUAUUUAUUUCCUUAUUUCAUGGUAAAUGUUUAUUAUUCAUGCUAGAAUUGUAUUAUCCGGAAACUUAGUACAUGUGUGAAUACAUAGACAAAACAAAGUGUCCCUAGUAUGCCUCUACUUGACUAGCUCGUUUAUCAAAGAUGGUUAUGUUUCCUAACCAUAGACAUGUGUUGUCAUUUGAUGAAUGAGAUCACAUCAUUAGGAGAAUGAUGUGAUGGACAAGACCCAUUCAUUAGCUUAGCAUUAUGAUCGUUACAAUUUCAUUGGUACUACUUUAUUCAUGACUUAUACAUGUCCUCAGACUAUGAGAUUAUGCAACUCCCGAAUACCGGAGGAACACUUUGUGUGCUACCAAACGUCACAACGUAACUGGGUGAUUAUAAAGGUGCUCUACAGGUGUCUUCGAAGGUGUUUGUUGGGUUGGCAUAUAUCGAGAUUAGGAUUUGUCACUCCGUGUUUCGGAGAGGUAUCUCUGGGCCCUCUCGGUAAUGCACAUCACUAUAAGCCUUGCAAGCAAUGUGACUAAUGAGUUAGUUACGGGAUGAUGCACUACGGAACGAGUAAAGAGACUUGCCGGUAACGAGAUUGAACUAGGUAUUGAGAUACUGACGAUCGAAUCUCGGGCAAGUAACAUACCGAUGACAAAGGGAACAACGUAUGUUGUUAUGCGGUUUGACCGAUAAAGAUAUUCGUAGAAUAUGUGGGAGCCAAUAUGAGCAUCCAGGUUCCGCUAUUGGUUAUUGACCGGAGACGUGUCUCGGUCAUCUCUACAUAGUUCUCGAACCCGUAGGGUCCGCACGCUUAACGUUCGGUGACGAUCGGUAUUAUGAGUUUAUGUGUUUUGAUGUACCGAAGGUUGUUCGGAGUCCCGGAUAUGAUCAUGGACAUGACGAGGAGUCUCGAAAUGGUCGAGACCUAAAAUCGAUAUAUUGGAUGACUAUGUUUGGACGUCGGAAUGGUUCCGGAUGAGUUCGGGCAUAUACCGGAGUACCUGGAGGUUACCGGAACCCCCCGAGAAGUAUAUGGGCCUUAUUGGGCCAUAGUGGGAGAGAGAAGAGGGAAGCCUAGGAGGGGGCGUGCCCCCCCCAAGCCCAAUCCGAAUUGGGUAGGGGGCCGGCCCCCCCUUUCCUCCCCCCUCUCCCCCCUUCCUUCCUCUCCUAAUCCAACUAGGGAAGGGGGGGGGAAUCCUACCCCCGGUGGGAGUAGGACUCCCUUGGGGCGUGCCAUGGGAGGGCCGGCCCUCCCCCUCCUCCACUCCUUUAUAUACGGAGGAGGGGGGCACCCCAUAGACACACAAGUUGAUCAUUGAUCUCUUAGCCGUGUGCGGUGCCCCCCUCCACCAUAAUCCACCUCGGUCAUAUCGUUGCAGUGCUUAGGCGAGGCCCUGCGCCGGUAGCUUCAUCAUCACCAUCAUCACGCCGUCGUGUUGACGAACCUCUCCCUCGACACUCUGCUGGAUCGUGAGUUCGUGGGACGUCGCCGAGCCGAACGUGUGCAGAUCACGGAGGUGCCGUACUUUCGGUACUAGGAUCGGUCGAUCGUGAAGACGUACGACUACAUCAACCGUGUUGUCAUGACGCUUCCGCUUACGGUCUACGAGGGUACGUAGACAACACUCUCCCCUCUCGGUUCUAUGCAUCACCAUGAUCUUGCGUGUGCGUAUGAUUUUUUUUUUUUUGAAAUUACUACGUCCCCAACACUUCGGGAUACUGGGAGCAUGGUGGUACUUCUUCGAAGGGUGCAGCGGUUGCCGGUCUUCCUUUCUUUGUUGAUCUGCCGGUGUCGGCAUUUAUUUCUCUUUCUUUUUCUUGCUUUUCCUUUUGGGCUUAUCUGUGUUGCGGCCCCAGCGAGCUAGAUGUUCGGAUGUUUACUUUAUAAUAUAAAGCGGGGGAAACCUUUAUCGUCAAUAGCGGCAAGUGGGUGCACACAAACAAUAGUGUGAAACUGAACAAGGUUGUUCCAAUACACUCUACGCUGCAGCACAUUUUCAAAGCCAAUAUACUGCUGGCGUCCACUGCUUAUCAAGUACAGCUACUUGCCGCAGCAAGAGAAAAUAAACUCACCAUUAGAAGGAGAGCAUGAAGAUGGAGGGAAGAACCAGAUACAAGCAAACCAGCAGGGAGAGCAGGACCCGGGGGCUACUCGAGGUGGCCGAACCACCAGCUGCUGCCAUGUUGCUGCUUGAGACGCCGGAGCCGGCUUGAGUGCUGCCAGAAGUAACUGCGCCGUCUUUCGAGCCGGGCCCCGACGCCUGCAGCAUGUUCUUGAACCAGUAGGCCGAGUCCUUGGGGUACCGCUUGAGGGUGGUGAAGUCGACGUACACGAUGCCGAACUUGGAGGUGUAGCCCGACAGCCACUCGAAGUUGUCCAGGAGGGACCACGCAAAGUAGCC